AAAAAAUCAUCAAGCCCGCCGAGCCCAUCGAGCACCGCCGCCGGCGGAUCCUGCCGGUGGAGGAGCUCGGCCAUGCCACCCGCCGUGGCCGCUGGUUCCGGCCGGUGGAGGGGCUUGGCCGUCGCGCUAUGGGAGAGAGAGGGACGGGAGGAGAUGGGGAGGGUUGGGAGGAUGUUGCGGGUGGAAGAGAGAGAGGGAGGGGAGAAGAGUGCUCCGAUCCCCUCCCUAUCCCACCGACAUCUCCACCGGGGCCGCCCCUCCCUUCAGAUCAGAGCCGCCGGCGGCGGCUACUAGAUCGUCUCCAAGGCCAGAAGCUAGCCGUCGCGGAUCAAGAUCCGGCGUCACGGGCGCACGGCCAGCUUCUCGGUGCGGCGGCGAGUGCUCCGAGCACGGCGGCAUGCGGGGCAGCGACGGCGGCAAGAGGCCGAGGCCCUCCAUGUGGAUCUCGGCGACCCGAUCCGCCUCCCCACGUCCGCCUCGAGCCCCACGGCCUCCUCCCCGCCGACAAGGUCGCCAUCAUCGUCAUGCACAAGAUAAUGGGACGGCUGAUGUCCAGCAAGGAUGGCACCGGCAGCAUCCGCUUCAUACAGGCCGCGCACUGCAUCGGCGAGGCUGUCGAGUGCGAGAGGGUUAAUCAAGCUUGGAUAGCUAAUUGGAGGUAGAGGAACUGGUGAGCGCAUUAUGCAAGUAAUACCAUGUGCAACCUAAACUAAAAUGUGCAAUUAUAUAUCUCAGAAGUGCUAUGUUGCGACCAUGAUCUGAAUUUUGAUCUACCAUAUGCAUGAAUACAUGCAUACAUGCCAUGUAUCUGUAAUUUGAUCGCUGAAUGUUGAUGGCAAUUUAGCCCACUUGACAUUGUGUGCGAUAGCUAGCGUAUGCCUAUUUGUGUCUGUGCAUGGAAAAGCUUAGUGGAGUUAAUAAUUGGAACUAUUAAAGUAAUUUUGAAUCUGUCUUCUUGUAGAGUCAGUUGACCUUGUGCACUAGAGUUUAGCUUCCGUACUUUUGGUAAAGUACUGAAGUUCGACUACAUCAUUUAGAGUAACUUAAUACUAUUUUUGGUUCUUGCUUUCCCAUUCAUGUUCCAUAGUGAAAAUUUAUUUGGCAGUCCACUGAGAGCUGGUGUUUUCCCUUCCUUUGUUUACAAUUCUUAGUCCAGACAUUCUUUCAGAAAAGUAGGAAGAAGAAAGAUCAAGGUGACAAUGAUCCAGCAUUGGGGAAGGAGCAAGCAAAAUGCUGGAAACAUGUUAAUAAUUUAGUUAGGAGGCCGAAGAUGAGUGACGCAGAUGCUGGUAAAGUGGGAGUUGGAAUUGGAGGAAUGGGACACAGAAGCCCAAGUGAAGUUGGGAACUCGUCUGAUUGAAUUAUUACUGGAUUGAGCAUUUGUUCAAUCACCCGCUGAUCAAACACUAGAUAGCUCUCCAGAUGUUCAACCUGCAUUUAAGCUUGUAAUACGACAGCCUAUAAUAGAAAAUGGGUUGUGCUUCUUCUUUACAAUUGUGCUGCAUAGGUUGCACUAACAUGCCUAGUUCCAUCAACAUCGUCUGCUUAGGCAUGUUUAUGGAUAUAUGAUGAUUCUUCAGUGACAUAUCUCAUCAACCUGCAGGAAGCUAAUGAAGAAACAUUGGGUGAUGGAAUGUGACCAUCUUGUGCGUGAGGGCUUUGAAAGCAUGGUUGCAGGCUGACGGGAGGGGACCUGCUUCAUCUCGCUUCAAUCCGCCCAGUGCAAGGUUCAUGGUGAUUUACUGUUCUCUCAUGAUCAGCAACAGAUUCUUAUUACCAAAGCAGUCUUACGUAUCCUUGCUUCAUGUGAACAAAUAAUUUGGAGAUUUGGAAGAUCAAGCAAUGAGUGCAAAGAGAAGGAAGGCCCAAAGAAAGAUAGUUUUAGAAAUUACAGUGAAAAUUAGAAAUAUUUGUAUGAUAUCGCCACUUUUUCUUUUUCUUUUUUUAUUUUUACUAACGCCCUUGUGUCUACCUGCUAAUUUGUAUGAAUCUCUUGAUUGUUGAAUUACGUGGUUCCUAUUUUAAUGUACUUACAGUGAUAUGGAUCAUUUUA